GAUUAUGGCUCAGGAUGAACGCUGGCGGCAUGCCUAAUACAUGCAAGUCGAACGAGUAGACCCUCGGGUUUGCUAGUGGCGAACGGGUGAGUAACACGUAGAUAACCAACCCUUAUGACGAGGAUAACCCGGGGAAACCUGGACUAAUACUGGAUAGGAGCUAAUUUCACAAGAGGUUAGUUUUAAAGGCGCCUCAAAGCGCCGCAAGAGGAUGGGACUACGUCGCAUUAGCUAGUUGGUGGGGUAACGGCCUACCAAGGCAACGAUGCGUAGCCGGCCUGAGAGGGUGAACGGCCACAUUGGGACUGAGACACGGCCCAAACUCCUACGGGAGGCAGCAGUGGGGAAUAUUGGACAAUGGGGGAAACCCUUGAUCCAGCGACGCCGCGUGAGUGAAGAAGUAUUUCGGUAUGUAAAGCUCUAUCAGCAGGGAAGAAAAUGACGGUACCUGACUAAGAAGCCCCGGCUAACUACGUGCCAGCCGCCGC
rnacentral:rRNA from 1 species